rnacentral:tRNA from 1 species
GGUCUGUUAGCUCAGUCGGCAGAGCGUGGUGCUAAUAACGCUAAGGUCGUGAGUUCGAUCCUCACACAGGCCA